AGUGAACGCUGGCGGUACGCCUAACACAUGCAAGUCGAACGGCAGCACAGUAAGAGCUUGCUCUUACGGGUGGCGAGUGGCGGACGGGUGCGGAAUACAUCGGAAUCUACUUUUUCGUGGGGGAUAACGUAGGGAAACUUACGCUAAUACCGCAUACGACCUACGGGUGAAAGCAGGGGAUCUUCGGACCUUGCGCGAUUGAAUGAGCCGAUGUCGGAUUAGCUAGUUGGCGGGGUAAAGGCCCACCAAGGCGACGAUCCGUAGCUGGUCUGAGAGGAUGAUCAGCCACACUGGAACUGAGACACGGUCCAGACUCCUACGGGAGGCAGCAGUGGGGAAUAUUGGACAAUGGGCGAAAGCCUGAUCCAGCCAUACCGCGUGGGUGAAGAAGGCCUUCGGGUUGUAAAGCCCUUUUGUUGGGAAAGAAAAGCAGCAGGUUAAUACCCCGCUGUUCUGACGGUACCAAAAGAAUAAGCACCGGCUAACUUCGUG
rnacentral:rRNA from 1 species